rnacentral:ncRNA from 1 species
UAGUGGUUAGGAGGGGGGCGGGACCUAUAUUAGUUCCUUUUGAAUUUUAUUUCUUUUAAAAUAAAAGUUUGAUUCUUUCUUAAAAAUUUGGAUUUUAAAUUUUAUUAUAUGUAAGGUUUUCCUUUUGUUCUAAAAGAAUUUUAUUUUUCAGUGUUUAUUUUUGGUUUUUAUUUUAAGAUAAAACCAGGGUUUUAAUUAUAACUGACAAAAAUUGUGCCAGCCGUCGCGGUUAUACAAUUAGUUAAAUUAAAUUUUUUUAGUUUAAUAUUAUAUUUUUUUUAUAAUUAAAAUUUAUAUUUUGAGGUGAAAUUCAAAUAUAUUAAUUUUUUAUUUGUUUAUAUAGAUAUAUGAAAAUCAUAUAAAGACUAGGAUUAGAUACCCUAUUAUUUUGAUUGUAAAGUUUCUUUAAUAUUAAUAGUUAUGUUCUUAAAAUUAAAAGAAUUUGGCGGUUAUUUAUUCUUUCCAGAGGAACCUGCCCCGUAAUUGAUAAUCCACGAUUGAUUUUACUUAAACUUUGCUUAUAUAUCGCUGUCAUUGAAUGUUUUAUAAGAAUAUUUUCUUAAAAUUUUAUGAAUUUAAUGUUAGGUCAAGAUGUAGCUAUGUUUAAGUGGAGGUGGGUUACAUUAAAUUUAUUUUUGGAUGGUUAUAUUUUAUUAUAACUUGAAAUUGGAUUUGGUAGUAAUUUUUACAAAAUUGUAAUUUUUAUUUUAGUUCUAAAUAAUGUACACAUCGCCCGUCACUCCCAUUAUUAAAUAGUUGGGAUAAGUCGUAACAAAGUAGGCCUACCGGAAGGUGGGUCUGGUAAGUU